ensembl:lncRNA
GGCGCGGGCGUGCGCGGCAGAAGCCAUGGCUGGUGGAUGAGGCGUGUUUGUGCGGCCGCGGGCCGCUGCCGGGCAUCGUCGUCAUCCGAGGCCAUCGAGGGCCCCAGGUGGUACCUGCGCUCUGCUGAGGCCAGGUAAAGAUUGUGGGGUCUGUGGGCCCGGUGGGAGGGCGCGUUGGCCCCUCUGCUGUCGCUGGCUGGGCCGCGUCGGUCGGGUGCGGAGGGAUCGGGCGUGCCCGACCGGGCGCGGUCGGCCCUGUGGCUAGGGGCUCGGCGGGCGGGGGUCUCCAGCCGGGCUUCUGAGGGUCCCAUUCGGAGGACACAUGCGGCCUUGGGGGCAGCGCUGGGGGAAUGGGGUCGUGCGUCCGGCUUGCCCCGAGGGAAGGGACUUGGGCGCGUUAGGAGGCCGGCUUGAGCUGGCCGCGUGCCUUCUCGGGGCCGGCCCUCGGCUCCCCGCAGCAGUUCUUCGCGGAGACGCGCUGCUGAGUGUCGCUGCCCGGGCGCCGCGCCCACCUCCCGGAGCCCGGCCCGCUGUUUUCUCCACCGUUAUUUCACAGGGAAAACCGAGCCUACUUCUGUGUCUUGGCCUACAGUUCCGAAGUGUUUUCUGAACGUAAAGUCCACACCGAGAAGAAUGUGGAAGAAAAGGCCGUUUUGUGAAUGAUAUGAUGAUAGGGAGGUUUCUCUGGUCGCCUAAGUGUAGGAAGCUCAGCUCUAGAAUUACACGGUCGUAGGGAGUAAAAUUCGCUCCCCUCGUCCCAGCUGCUUGAUAAGGCUUCCUCUCCUCAGGCUCCUUCCACCUGUCGGAGUCACCUGUGCCCGUGCGCUCCUGGAAUAAACCCAAGUAGGCCCAGUUUAACCCCGUGAUCUCUCUUCUCAGCUCCCCGGGCUUGAGGGGCUUAAAUGAGUGUGGGCUGCAAGCCUCCAGCGUGCUUGGGUCUGGGGUGACCCUGUGCAUUCCUACAGUGCUUGCGAGAACAUUUUGAAACGGUUUGAGGCCUUGCCCUGCUCCAUCCAGAGCAAGGUUAUAGAAAUUUCAGACAAUCGCCUGCUCCCUUCCCUAUCUGGUGUGCUAGGCAUUGUAUAGAUCUGUACUGUCUGAUGUGGUAACCACUUGCAGCAUAUGGUUAACUUGAACUUAAAUUUUAAAACUCAAGGGCCGGCUCCGUGGCCGAGUGGUUAAGUUCGCACGCUGGGCUGCGGCGGCCCAGGGUUCGGAUCCUGGGCGCGGACAUGGCACCGCUCGUCAGGCCACGUUGAGGCGGCGGCCCAUAUGCCACAGCUAGAAGGACCUGCAGCUAAGAUAUACAACUACGUACGGGAGGGAGGGGGGAGGUUUGGGGAGAUAAAGCAGAAGGGAAAAAAAAAAAAGAUUGGCAACAGUUGUUAGCCCAGCUGCCAAUCUUUAAAAAAAAAAUUUUAAUUCAGUUUUUCAUUCAUACUACCCACAUUUCAGAUGCUUAGUAGUCAUGUGGCAAAUGGCUACUGUACUGGACCGUGCAGAAUAUAGAACAUCCACAUCUCUGCAAAAGUUGUUUUGGACUUUGGGUGUUUUCUAUGUGUCAGGCUCAUUGCGAAUUUUAUUAUAUUCUUAAAACAAAACCUGUACAAAAUUUGAAAAUAAAGCUCAGGGGGAGUGGUAAAGGUAAAGUUGGACCAGCAUCAGGGAAUAAAGAGUAGAAAGGAGUUACAGGGGUGAGCCCUGCCUGGAGGGUACAGGGUGUUGACAAUUAACAGGCAAACCAAAGAGAACCAGAGGCUAAAUUCUGCAGCAGAGCUGAAUGCCCCAGGAGCUGACCAAGGGCAGGGUCAGUGCACUGAUCUCAAGGGAAGACCUCCUGGGAGAGGAGGGCUCUCUUGUUGCUUGGACUCUUGUUUUGUGCCGAACUUCUUAGUUCUUCACCCAGUUUAAAUCUUUGAGGACCACGAUGAGGUGGUCUUAGGUCUAGUACAAAAAGCCCACAGUCAGAAUUCUGUGUCCAGGGUUGCCCAGCUGGAACCUAGCAGGUCGGGCUUGGACGCCAGGCCUCUCCAGCCCUACCGUGUUUGCUCGUUUCCAGGAUGCCAGACAGAGGGGAAUCUAGAAGCGGGUGGGAAGUUUGGGUUGGAGGGAAAUAGGUUGUGUCCUUUGGUGUGAGCACUGUGGGGUACAGUCAGGGAUAGGCCAUGGUGGAAAGAGUGGCCAGCAUGGUCGUGGCAGGGCGGCCCAGUUCUGUGCUCCUCCGGGUGGUGAGGUCACACCACGCUUCUUCCCUUGCAGGUGAAGGCUUCCAGUGGACGCGGAUCCCUUCAGUCCAACUGCAGAGGCUGAGCACACCAGCCUCCACGCGGCUGCGUCUGGGGACACUUGCCCAUGAGUCUCUAGUUUCUGCAGUCCUCGGAGCGAGGUGCCGGCUGCCCUUUUGCCCAGAUUGCCUUUUCAAGGAUCUUCAAGUAGCAGACAGCCUUGAGAUGUGUGAGGUAGCGCCUCCCUCCAGAGCAGAAAGCAGCAUCUGUGAAACUGGAGUUUGUCUGCUGUCGGAUGGGAGCUAAAUCAGACCUUGACCUCCCCCAGCAGACUCUGCUCUGCGUCCCUGCCCUAGCGCAUAACAGGAAGUGCCUGCCACCCCCCAGUGUUUCAGAAAGCCCGGGAUGCCAGAACUAGAAGAGACCUGAGAGAGGAUCCCUUUGGUGGCUGUCAGGCUGUCCAUGGAAUCUGCAGUGGUGUGGGCGCUGUAUCUGCCUCCAGAACAAGAAUCCUCGCUGUGCGGCUGACCCCGUGGCUGAGUUGUUAAGUUCGUGCUCUCCACUGCAGGCAGCCCAGUGUUUCGUUGGUUCGAAUCCUGGGCGUGAACGUGGCACUGCUCAUCAAACCACGCUGAGGCAGCGUCCCACAUGCCACAACUAGAAGGACCCACAACGAAGAAUAUACAACUAUGUACCGGGGGGGUUUUGGGGAGAAAAAAAGAAAAAUAAAAUCUUUAAAAAAAUUAAUAAUUAAAAAAAAAAAAGAAUCCUCGCUGUGCAUCAGGACCCAGGUCUCUCUGACAUCUCCUGAAUAAGGAGAAAGACAUAUGUAAUAAACAGUUUUAAAUGUGUG